CAUCCGCGGUAAUAAAAGAGUUGCCGCUUGGCUAAAGCAAUUUAGCCAAAAAAACUUGACUAUAUGCUGGAAACUCUGGCGUACUUUAGGAGAAAUCCGACAAGUGUAUCCGUAAGGGCGGAUGCCAGACAAUCAGCAGGAAAGGUCGCGAAUCGAAUUUUGGAACGUCUUGAGUGGCUGUUAACUUCGUGUCCACGAAAUCCCGACUCUAGAUAGUAUUCUUUCUACUCGAUAUACCGAGAAAGAGGAAUGCUGUCAAAAAAAGAGGGCGGGUAGUACCCACAUAAAGUAUAGAUAAUGUGGGAUAGUGGAAAGCUCUAACAGUCACUCAUAAUAGCGAUAAUGAAUUUGUUAUCGCUCCAAGGUUCGAUUCGCGAAAUCCUCAGAGACUACACGUCAAGCCCCGCCCAAAGCUAAGGCAUUGUGGCGGGUGAAGAUAUAGUCCAUACUUCAAGCGAUUGAAGA
rnacentral:ribozyme from 1 species